rnacentral:rRNA from 1 species
GAUGAACGCCGGCGGCGUGCCUAAUACAUGCAAGUCGAGCGAACGGACGAGAAGCUUGCUUUUCUGAUGUUAGCGGCGGACGGGUGAGUAACACGUGGAUAACCUACCUAUAAGACUGGGAUAACUUCGGGAAACCGGAGCUAAUACCGGAUAAUAUUUUGAACCGCAUGGUUCAUAAGUGAAAGACGGUCUUGCUGUCACUUAUAGAUGGAUCCGCGCUGCAUUAGCUAGUUGGUAAGGUAACGGCUUACCAAGGCAACGAUGCAUAGCCGACCUGAGAGGGUGAUCGGCCACACUGGAACUGAGACACGGUCCAGACUCCUACGGGAGGCAGCAGUAGGGAAUCUUCCGCAAUGGGCGAAAGCCUGACGGAGCAACGCCGCGUGAGCGAUGAAGGUCUUCGGAUCGUAAAACUCUGUUAUUAGGGAAGAACAUAUGUGUAAGUAACUGUGCACAUCUUGACGGUACCUAAUCAGAAAGCCACGGCUAACUACGUG